GCAGUGGUGGUUCAGUGCUAGAAUUCCUACUUUCUAUGUGGGAGAACUAGGUUUGAUUCCCAGCCAGUGUA
rnacentral:tRNA from 1 species